rnacentral:rRNA from 1 species
AUUGAACGCUGGCGGCAGGCCUAACACAUGCAAGUCGAGCGGAUGAGGGGAGCUUGCUCCUUGAUUCAGCGGCGGACGGGUGAGUAAUGCCUAGGAAUCUGCCUGGUAGUGGGGGAUAACGUUCCGAAAGGAACGCUAAUACCGCAUACGUCCUACGGGAGAAAGCAGGGGACUUUCGGGCCUUGCGCUAUCAGAUGAGCCUAGGUCGGAUUAGCUAGUUGGUGAGGUAAUGGCUCACCAAGGCGACGAUCCGUAGCUGGUCUGAGAGGAUGAUCAGUCACACUGGAACUGAGACACGGUCCAGACUCCUACGGGGGGCAGCAGUGGGGAAUAUUGGACAAUGGGCGAAAGCCUGAUCCAGCCAUGCCGCGUGUGUGAAGAAGGUCUUCGGAUUGUAAAGCACUUUAAGUUGGGAGGAAGGGCAGUAAGUUAAUACCUUGCUGUUUUGACGUUACCAACAGAAUAAGCACCGGCUAACUUCGUGCCAGCAGCCGCGGUAACAC